rnacentral:rRNA from 1 species
CACCGCGUGAGCGAAGAAGGUCUUCGGAUGGUAAAAAUCUGUUGUCAGGGAAGAACAAGUGCCGUUGGAACAGGGCGGUACCUUGGCGGUACCUGACAAGGAAACCACGGCUAAAUUCCGGCCCGCCGCCCCGGUAAAACGUAGGGGGCCAACGUUUUCUGGAAAUUUUUGGGGUAAAACGCGCGCCGGCGGUUCUUUAAAUUUGAUGUGAAAUCUCCCGGGUCAACCCCGGGCGGCCCUUGGAAAAUGGGGAACUUGAGUGCAGGAGAGGGGAGGGGAAUUUCCCGGGUAGCGGGGAAAAGGGUAGAGAUUUGGGGGGACACCCGUGGGGAAAGGGGCUCUCUGGCCUGUAACUGACGCUGAGGCGCGAAAGCGUGGGGAGCGAAC